CCGAGCUGCAGCCGUCUCCCUCGGGCUGCUGCCGGUGCUGCGGGCGGAGGCGGCUCCGCCGCGUGUUGGGCGCUGCGAGCAGGGAGCGCUGCGGUAUCGCCGGCAUGGCGGGGCUGCUGCCUGCGUUAGUGCCCGUGGCUCUUUGUGCCGUGACAGCGGAUGGAGCGGCGCUGGGCGGUAAAGCCAGAGAUGGCCGGGAGAAUGCCCAGCGCAGGGAGCGGGCGGGCUGUGUGCUUCGGAUGGCACAGGUGCGAGCUGCAAAGCCACCCCCCCUUCCGCCCCUGCCCUCCCGAGCCCCAGGGAAAAUGCUUUCCAGCAUUGUCGAGCUUCUGAAAGACAAAACUUGUGAUUUGACACUUGCAUCCAGAAAAGGUUUCUGUCUAGAUUAGCAAAUGCCUCAAUUGUUCUUGGUUACAUCCCAUGACCGGUUUCAGGCAGCGACUUUAUAAUGCCUUUAGGAUUUUCUUGUACAAUGGUGAGAAAACAGGCAGGUCUGAUAGUGGUUUCACUUUUUUUUCUACUUCACGUUCCAUAAGAUUCUUUUAUGCAAGCACUUGUUUUAAAAUUCUACUGUAAGCGUUUAUGGUUCACUUUUUUUUUCUUUGCAGCACCCGUGACUUUUUUUUCCCUCUAAAUCGGGAGUAAAUAUAGCUGAGUAAAAUUACCUUGAUUUUCUUCCUUCUUUUUUAACUGAAUUGUUUUUAUUAAAAAUGCUAUUUGAAUAUGUAGAAAAAGUGGGGAUGUCUUGUAAUAUAUCGUAGCUUUUCUUGUUUACAGGAUACUCAGAAAAUAUGUCUCCCUUAGAGUCCCACAGAAACGUUCUCAGUGCGAUCUCUAUCAAGUGCUAUGAGUCUUGAUCAAUUGGAGAAGAGCCCAAGAGAAAUUUUUCAUCCCUUGAUAUAAAAGGGAUCGGUGAAUUUUAACUUUGGAGUCCCCUAUGCUAAGGAUGCUCAGCUUACAGGUGAUGAAAUGUUCAGUAAUGGUGAGUUUUUCACCUUCUCUUUA